rnacentral:rRNA from 1 species
GUUGGUUCGACCUUAAGCCGGUGGGCGAACCCGCAAGGGACGCAGCCGACCACGGUCGGGUCAGCGACUGGGGUGAAGUCGUAACAAGGUAGCCGUAGGUGAACCUGCAGAAGGAUCA